AACUUCUGUAAUUGAAUGCACAGAUUGAGGGUUGGCAUUUACAAAUGUAAAAUUAAACAAUGAGCUUGAAAUUGAAAUCUCUUUUGACAAGUGCAAACUAUGAGGUCAAAAGUGAAAUCUUAAACAAGGAUGAAGAAAUUGAAACUUUAAUGAAAAAUCAAUGGCUAAAUUGUGGUACUACACUUGUCAAAGAAAUUGUUUCUCUCGCAGGUUUCAUUAACUGGUUGAGUUUGGUU
rnacentral:misc_RNA from 1 species